rnacentral:rRNA from 1 species
AACGAACGCUGGCGGCAUGCCUAACACAUGCAAGUCGAACGAGACCUUCGGGUCUAGUGGCGUACGGGUGCGUAACGCGUGGGAACCUGCCCUUAGGUUCGGAAUAACUCCCCGAAAGGGGUGCUAAUACCGGAUAAUGUCUUCGGACCAAAGAUUUAUCGCCUUUGGAUGGGCCCGCGUUGGAUUAGCUAGUUGGUAGGGUAAAAGCCUACCAAGGCGACGAUCCAUAGCUGGUCUGAGAGGAUGAUCAGCCACACUGGGACUGAGACACGGCCCAGACUCCUACGGGAGGAAGCAGUGGGGAAUAUUGGACAAUGGGCGAAAGACUGAUCCAGCAAUGCCGCGUGAGUGAUGAAGGCCUUAGGGUUGUAAAGCUCUUUUACCCGGGAUGAUAAUGACAGUACCGGGAGAAUAAGCUCCGGCUAACUCCGUG